CAAGGUGAGAGAUACGGAGGUAGAGCACUGAAUGUCCUAGGGGGUAUUGCACCUACCGAAGACUAUCAAACUCCGAAUGCCGUCAUCUUAUACUUGGGAGUCAGACUGUGGGUGAUAAGAUUCAUAGUCGAAAGGGCAACAGCCCAGAUCGUCAGCUAAGGUCCCUAAAUGUAAGUUAAGUGGUAAAGGAUGUGGGAUUGCACAGACAACCAGGAUGUUGGCUUAGAAGCAGCCACUCAUUCAAAGAGUGCGUAAUAGCUCACUGGUCGAGUGAUCCUGCGCCGAAGAUUUCCGGGGCUAAAACUUACUACCGAAGCUACGGCAUCAGUAAUGAUGGGUAGGGGAGCUUCCCAUACGGGUUGAAGCAUGACCGUAAGGACAUGUGGACAGUAUGGGAGUGAGAAUGUUGGCAUGAGUAGCGAGAUGUGGGUGGGAAUCCCACAGGCCGUAAACCCAAGGUUUCCAGGGGAAGGUUCGUCCGCCCUGGGUUAGUCGGGACCUAAGCUGAGGCCGAAAGGCGUAGGUGAUGGACAACAGGUUGAUAUUCCUGUACUACCGAUAACCGGUUGAGAGAAGGGAUGACACAGUAGGAUAAGCUAAGCACACUGUUGGUUAUGUGUGCCCAAGCAUUGAGGCAGUCAAAGCAGGCAAACCCGCUUUGAGAAUGCUGGGCGGGGGUGGGGAGCGAAGUUU
rnacentral:rRNA from 1 species